rnacentral:sRNA from 1 species
AGUGAUAUAGCAGACAGAAGUCAUACAUACAUGUGUUUACACAAAUGUAUGUAUGACCUCGGGAUGCGAACAUACAUGAGGAAAAAAGAUAUGUGAAUGGAAUGAACAUAUCGAUUUCCGAAUGUAUGUAGGAUUGCGAGAGUGGAACGGAGCAAUCCGUAUAUCACU